AACCCAGUAUCCUUUCAAAUUUAUAUGUUGUGUACCGUGCGCUAGGUUCUGAGGUCUCCGUUUAUCUUUUCAGAGUUAUUUGAAAAUACUGUUACGAUGUGUCCUUUGCCUCUUUCAGCCUUUCACCAAGGUCACAGAAAUUAUUUAAUCUCUAUCAUUGUUUCUUCCAUUUUAACUUUUUCCUGAUUUUAUGGCAAAUGCAGAAUUUAAAAGAAUCAUUUGAACAAUUUCACGUUGGAUAAAACCUGUUAUGAUGAUGUCUGGUUGUGCCAAAACUUGAUCAAGCUUUCCUCAUUUGUUUAAUUACUGCAGUUUCAGAACAGAGAAACCAUAAGGUCUUUGUGGUCGCACUGUAUUUCUGCUUCAAGUUCAAUCAUUAAAUAUUGAUUUGAAUUAGUUUCUCAUUUUUGCAACAUGGGCAAUUAUAUAUGAAAUUUUGAUCUCAGCAUAGGUGAGACAGUCAUAGAAAUAAGACAUUUGGAUGGUUUCUGGAGUGCUUUAAUAUAUCUUAGUCUCUAUUUUGAUUACUUGCUGUGUUUGGAUGGUGCAGAUUUAUUGAGCUGUACAAUUAUAGUGCAUAUACUUUUUCAGUAUUUUAUACUUCAAUAGAAAUUUUAAAAUGUCAUGAAGAGAAUCCAAAUAUUGGUUAAGAUACUUUUUAACAAUAUUGUCCAUUAGAUUAUGUGUUAUUUGCUGCAAAAUGAUCAAUGUCCUCAUAAUAGUCCAACUGUGUUGUCUAACAUAAGCAUAUUUACAAAACUGUACUAUGAAGUAUUUUUUAAUUUCAUCACAUGCGUAUGUUUUUCCAUGCUUAUGCCUAAAUUCUUUUACUUAUACCUUUUUUCUGCUAUCAGAAUCAGUGUGAUUGUUUUCUUACUACAUGCAAAGAUGUUACUCAUAGGUCUUAGGAACAAUAAAAACCUACACGCAUUGCACAGUGGAAAAAUUCAGGAAAUUUUAUUGAAAUGAAUUAAAACAUAAAGCCACAGUCAGAAUAAUAAACUGCUUGGAUUUGCAAGUCCUUCUUACCUUUUGAGAUCCUGAUACUGACUACACUCUGUGUUUCAAUUUUUAAUUCUACUUCUUCAAGUUUCUCUACUUUAGUGUAAGAUCAGAAAGUUGUAGCUGUCAAUUACUGUCACUGCUUCACUCAAGAAAUUCUAAUGAUAGAGACUAUAAGAUGAUUUACAACAGAUGUGUUUUUGAUAUUUCUUCCAUGCUUUCCAGAGGUAAAAUAUUUAGUUAUUUGCCCUACCUUAGGAAAUACAUUUUUUAUAUUGGUGGAAGUACCUGUCAAUUUGUGUAUCUAAAAUUUUCUAACAUAAAAAUCCAUUUCAUCAUAAAGGAGGUAUUAAAUAUAUAUGACAUUUUGGUAGCAAUAAUAUUGUAGAAUCUCCUGAAGUUAUACAUGUCCUAGGUCUCUAUGUCCAAAACAAUAGAUAAAUCAAGGACCCUGGUGGAUGUGAAGGACACCAUAUUUAAUUUAGCCAUUCCUUAUUUCCAGAACAAUGGUUGUUAAACAUUUUUUACUAUUGCAAAUAGCAUACGUUUGUCAUUACAAACCAGUAUUUAUGCAUUCAUGCUUCUGUUGCUGUGGGAAAUUAUUUCUAGAAACAGUAAUGCUUAAAAGUAAGGUGCAUGAAAUUUGUUUUAGUGAGAUGUAGUCAAAUCACCACUCAAAUAUUCAGGUCACUAUUGUUUCAGUAAUGUACUGGAAUGUUGAGAUAGAUUUAUAUUUUAUGUAUUUAAGGCACCAAAAAAUGUUACUAUUUAAUAUAUUUUUGUGGGGGUUUUGUUUUUGUUUUUUUGAGACAGAAUCUCACUUUGUAGUUUAGAUUGGCCUUGAACUUGCUAUAUAGCCCAGGGUGGCCUUGAACCUGAAUCCAUCCUCCUGCCUCAACCUCCCAAGUAGAAAAUAUCUUCUUAAGUGAUAUAUUUAACACUACUAAAAUAAAUUGUAGUUAAUAUAAUUAAAACUGGUAGUGCUUUAAAAAAUAUAUGCCCUUAGAGUAGUAUUUACCACUAACAGUCAUACCCAUUAAUUCCAGCAGCUUUACUACUCCUAAGUGCAAAGCAAAAUUGAAUACUAAGAUUCAGAAGUUCUGAAAGAGCACUGUCUGGGUAGGCUAAACUUAUACCUUCAAUAAUAAUAAUAUUUAUAAAGCACAAUUCAUAAAUCAGUAAUUUAAUUUUUGUGAUAGUCAAUGAAAAGAGGACAGGGACAGAAAAUUUGAGUGUAAUGAUAAAGUAGUGUUAACAUGAAGUUAGUCAAGGUAGCCUUCAUAGUAUGAACUUGGAAAAAAUUAGCAGGACAGUUCUCUGAAAUAUCUUUCAAAUUUUAAUAUUUUAAUAUAUAUAUUUAAAAUUCUAGUGUUAUAUUUUCUUUCCACAUUAUUUGAACAGAUUAAUAUUUAGUGUAUGGGAGAUAUUUCCCCUUCUUUAUCCUUAGUGCCAAUAAUACAUGCUUGAGAAUGAACAAAUAAGAAAAUAAGUGUAAAGCCACAAAUGAAGGUCUCAGGUUGAAAUAGCCAUAUAUAGGUCACAGGAUUUAAAUGUAGCACAGUGUUUGCUUAGCUUUACAGAAGUGUGCUGAGUGGUAUACACAACAUGGGCAUUAUCAUCAUGUCAUUAAAAGUUCCAAUAGGUGCUGAACCUCAUACUUUAUAUCAACAACCCUAUAAACGUUUUAUGGUUUAUUCAGAUGAGACCUGAGGGGUGUGUAUGUGCGUGUGUGUGUGUGUUCUUGACACAGAGCAGCAAGAACGUCGGGUGGCCAGUGUGCUUUGAUAUGGUCACAGCCGUGCAGAAACCACGGCACCCAGCUUUGAGAUAAGGACACAGAUCAAGUUCAGAAAACAUGGAGGUCCAAGCCUCUGUACGCAGUAUCUCACUGUAAUCUUAUGUCACUCACCUCUGUGUAUGCAGUUUGUGUGAAGACAACCCAAGAUCAUUUUGGGGCAAGCCUGUAUGAGUAGUAAAAUUGUUAUUUAUUUACUUACCAUAAAAUGAUAAUCAGAUUAAGAGACUGUGGCACAGUGGUCGUGGUGGAAUACGGAUUGCAAGGUCAUAUUCACUGAGCAUUCUUGAAAACUUCAGAGCGUUCAGAGAGAGACUUCUGAAAACAGCACCUAUGAGGAAAGUCUUAUACAGCUAUUAACCACAUCAGUCUCUCUCAUCAGAAACUUCCAGACUAGGAGAGAGCGGAAUGAUACAUCUGAACGUGUUGGAAGAAAAAAACCCUGCCAACCAGGAACGCUUUACCUAAAAAUAGUCCUUCAAAACUGAAGGAGAUGAUGUUUUCUCCAGUGCCUGGACAGGAGUGCUGAGAGUGGACAACCUUGUUUCAUUCCUGACUUUAGAGGCAGUGCUUUCUGUUUUUCCCAUUUGAUGUAUUGUCUGUGGGUUUCUAUAUAUAUACAGACUUCAUUAUUUUGAGGUAAAACUCUUCUGUAACCUGUUUCUUCAGGACUGUUAUCAUGAAGGAAUGUUGAAUUUUCUUAAACGAUUUUGAUGCAUCAAUUGAGGUGGUCAUUUUUUUCUUGAUUCUGUUUAUAUUGUGUAUUACAUUUCUUGAUUUGCAUAUGUUGGACCAAUCUUUUAUUCCUGGAAUGAAACCAAUUUCAUGGUAACACAUGAUCUUUUCAAUGAGCUUAAUGAAUCCUAUUUGUAAGAUUUUAUUGAAAAUUUUUCCAUCUGUGUUCAUCUAGGAUAUUGACCUAUAGUUUUAUCUUGAAUUUUUAUCUGUUUUUGGUAUCAGGGUAAUACUUGUUUCCUUCUCUGUUCCCUGGAAUGAUUUGAGGAGAAUUGGUGUUAGUCUUCUUUAAAUGUCUGCCAAAUUACAGCAGCAAAUCACCCAGUCCUGGCCUCUUCUUAUUGGGAGACUUUACUGCUGCUUCAAUCUCACUGCUUGUUAUUGAUCUGUUGAAGUUUUCUGUUGAAACUCUAUUCCAUUUUGGAAGCUUAUAUGUAUAAAUAAAUGUCUCUACUUCUAGAUUUUCCAAUUUAUAGAAUAUAAAUUUUCAAGAUAAUUCCUAACCAUCCUCUGGAUUUCUGUGGUAUCUAUUUUAGUAUCACUUUUCCUUCUUUAAUUUUAUUAAUUUGUGUCCUCUUUUAAUUAUUUUGACUAAGGAUUUACUGUUAAUCAUGUCAUUUGUAAACGAAGACAGGUUCAGUCCUUCCUUCCUAAUGCCUACAUCUUUCAUUUUGUCCCUGUUUUUACUGCUUUAUAUAGGGCUUCUAGUACAGUAUCAUUAUAAAGUACUUAUCAUUAUAAAGUUAGCAGUAGAGUACUUGCAGAUGUUAUAUAUCACCUUGGGUAAUUUCCCAACAAUUCCUAGUUUUUGUCAUGAAUGUAUGUGGAAUUUUAUCAAAUGCUUUUCUUGUAUCUAUUUUCUUCUUCAGCCUCUUCAUGUGAUAGAUCACACUGACUUUCAAAUGUUGAGCUAGCCUUACACACUUGGGUAAAAUCCUAUUUGGUCAUGGUGCAUAAUUCUUUUUGUACAUUGCUUGAUGUAAUCUGCUAUUAUGUUAUUGAGCAUUUUUGGAUUUAUGUUUUUGAGAGAUGUUGGUCUAAGUUUUCUUUCUAGUAAUGUCUAACUUUGAUAUUAUAGUAAUUCAGCCUCAAUGAAUGAGCUAAGGAGUCUUUUCUUUGUUCUAUAUUCUGAAAGACAUAUAGAGAACUGGUGUAAUAUUUUCCUUACAUGUUUGGUAGAAUUUAUUAGUGAACCUGCCUGGUGCCUCCUGUAUUGGAAUGUUAAUUCAUUAUUGUUUCAAUUUCUUUAAUAGAUACAGGUUUAUUUAGAUAUCUAUUUCUUCUUGUGUGAAUUAUGGCAGAUUGGGUCUUUAAAGGAAUUGGUCAGUUUUAUCUAGGGAAAUAGGUAUGUCCUUAAUAUUUUUAUGAUGUUCUUAAUUCCAUGGGAUCUGUAGUGAUGAUGUCCUCUCUUAUUUCUGGAACAGUGAUAUUUAUAUGGUUACCUUUUUAAAGUUAGCUUGGCUACACCUUUAGUGACUUUAUUGAUCUUUUCUAACAAAUAGCUUUUGGUUUUGUUGAUCUUUAUUCCACUGAUCUCCUAUUUUCAGUUUCAUUGAUUUCUGCUCUACUAUUUAUUAGUAGUUUUUACUCAUUUUUUACUCCCAAUUACUCUGGAUUUAAUAAUAUAGAUGAUUAUAUUGUUGACUUUUGAUCUUUCUUUUUCAUAAAUGUGUGAAUACCCUCAAUUUCUCUGUAAGCAUUUAUUGUCAUUGCACCCUACAAGGUUUGUUAAGUCAUAUUUUCAUUUAAUUUGAAAUAGUUAAAAAUUUUAAUUUUAUGGGAUUUUGUCUUUAAUUAAUGCGUUAUUUAGAACUGUUUUGGCUGUGAGUGUAGCUCAGUGGUAGGGCAUGUGCCUACUGCCUGUGAGGCCCUGAUUUGACACCGAGCACUGCAAAACAAAAACAAUAGCAAAACAUUAUGUUUAAAGUCUCCAAGUGCCUGGGAACUUUUCAGCUAUCUUUGUUAUUGGUUUCUAGUUCAAAUACACUGGGGUCUUAUAAUAAGCAUUAGAUGAUUUGUAUUUUUAAAAAAUUUGUUAAGGUGUAUUUUGUAGACCAAAAUGCAGCCAAUUUUGGUGCUGUUAGUUGAGUGUAUUCUCCAAGAGUCGAUGUGUUGGAAGCUUGAUCCUUAAGUAUAGCAAUGUUGGGAGGUGACAGAAACUGUAAGAGGUGGGUCCUAAAUGGGAGGGUGCUGGAUCACUGGAGGUGCUGUUCUUGUAAAGGAUUAACAUUUCUUAUAGGGCUUCAAUGAAUUCUUGUGCUCUGUGGCUUCCUGGCUCUCCAUAAGAUCCCCCCAAUGACAUGAUGCCACCUACCAUGAGAGCCUCACCAGAGGCCAAAUUCAUGAGACUGCCCAAUCUCAUACAUUCAUCCUCCCCUCAAAAUUUGUUUUGAUUUUUUGAGACAGGAUCUUUCUCAGUAGUUCAGGCCAUCCUUGAACUCACUAUGUAGUCCAGGCUGGCCUUGAACUUGAAGUGGUUCUCCUGCCUCAGCCUCCCAAGAGCUGGGAUUACAGGUGUGCACAACACUUGGCCAUCCUUUCAAAUAUUGAGCUAAAUAUAUAUGUUUUAUUGUCCCAUGUGAUCUUGAAAAGAAUGUAUUACAUACUUUAUAGUUGUCCAUGAUAUCCAGUUUAUUGGUAGUGCUGGUAAGUUUGGUCAUGUUAUAAUUGGCUUUCUGUUUGCGAGUUCUGAUGGCUCGAUUUCUGGAGAGAUGUUAACAUUUCCAGUUACAACAAUAGAUUCAUCUCUUGCUCCUUGUAAUAAAUCAGUUUCUACUAUACAUAUUUUGAUGUUUUCUUAUUUGGUGUGUAAAUAUUAAAUAUUUUGAUGUUUACUUGAA